GAGUUUGAUCAUGGCUCAGAACGAACGCUGGCGGCGUGCCUAACACAUGCAAGUCGAACGAGAAUGCAGGCUUCGGUCUGCUAGUAAAGUGGCGCACGGGUGAGUAACACGUGGGUAACGUACAUCGUAGUGGGGGAUAACCAGGUGAAAGCUUGGCUAAUACCGCAUGAGUCUGUCGGGACGCGAGUCCUGACAGGGAAAGUGGAGCAAUCCACGCUACGAGAUCGGCCCGCGGCCCAUUAGCUAGUUGGCGGGGUAACGGCCCACCAAGGCGACGAUGGGUAGCUGGUCUGAGAGGAUGAUCAGCCACACUGGAACUGAGACACGGUCCAGACUCCUACGGGAGGCAGCAGUGGGGAAUUUUGCGCAAUGGGCGAAAGCCUAACGCAGCAACGCCGCCGUGUGUGACGAAGGCCCUAGGGUUGUAAAGCACUGUGGGAGGGGAGAAAAACGGGGGUUGUACCCCGUCUUGACGGUACCCUGUUAGAAAGCACCGGCUAACUCCGUGCCAGCAGCCGCCGUAAG
rnacentral:rRNA from 1 species